UUAGACACUUUCCUAAACACGUUUAGAAUUACAACACAUUUAGGCCAAAGACGGCAUUCAUAUCACGUGCUAAUUUUUGAGCGGGAAGAAGAAACAAAGAACCCGAAGUCAAAGGCCACGCUGUUUACUUCUGACCAUAACUGACCGUAACUUGACUGUUUCAGAAAGAUGAGAGAAGUGCAGAGGAAAUCAUCAUCUGUCUUGACAUGCUAAAAGAGGAGAUAAAGAACAGUAGCAAAUAUGUUGCUAGGCCAGUGACCAGCAGUUGGGUACUAAGAAAGGAGAAGCUCUGAUUGACUUGUAAAUUGAAAACAGGACAUUUUCAAAUUGUUUUGUUGUAGGGAUGGGGUACAAAUAGAAGUAGGACUGGUCAAUAUUAUGAACAUGUACUUUGUUAUGAAUUUAUGAGUUUAUGUUUGAUUGUGUUCAAUGAUUAACUGGAAAUAAAUGAUAACAUAAAUUCAUUUGUUUUAUAUGUUGUAAUUGUGUUUUAAAGCUAGAUUUAGUAUAAUGAUUAUUUCAUUUCAAAAAGUUAUAGACUAUUUUACGAAUAUUUGAAAUGAAGACAAAAUGCAAUAGUCGA